GGUGGAGCGAUCUGUCUGGUUAAUUCCGAUAACGAACGAGACUCUCCCCUGCUAACUAGUCGGUAGGAUCUUCCCCGCAUAUGUUUAUCGAUGCGAGUGGUGCUUCCGGUUCAGCUCGUGAGUAAGUGGUCGUGUGCGUGCGCGCGUCGUUGGGUGUGCUCUUGCCCUCGUGGUAAGUGUGUGCUCGCGGUGUGUUGUGCGCUGCGUUCGCCAAAGCGAGUCCCGGUUGUGUACACUCGAAGUCCUCCGCCAUUGUGUUUUGAUCUUCUUAGAGGGAUUCAUGGCUCUGAAGCCAUAAGAGACUGAGAGCAAUAACAGGUCUGUGAUGCCCUUAGAUGCCCUGGGCCGCACGCGCGCUACAAUGCCGGACGCAGCAGGCGUUUUCCCUUCUCCGAGAGGAGCGGGCAACCCUCUGAAAGUCCUCUUUCGAUUAUGCAUAUCUCUUUACGUGGAGCGUUCGUUCGCGGGCGCUCCACACGGCGUGAUAGGGCCUGGGGCUUGCAAUUCUUUCCCACAAACGAGGAAUGCCUAGUAGCGGCGAGUCACUGAGCUUGCUACGGCUUAGUCCCUGCCCUUUGUACACACCGCCCGUCGCUACUACCGAUUGGGUGUACCAGUGAGAGCCUUGGACUGGCGUCCUCUUCUUUCCUCACGGAUUAGAAGGUGGGUCUGACGGGAAGAGGUCCGAACUGGUGCACCUAGAGGAAGUAAAAGUCGUAACAAGGUUUCCGUAGGUGAACCUGCGGAAGGAUCAUUA
rnacentral:rRNA from 1 species